UUAUUGCCCUGUCAUCACGCCGACUCUGCCAGUGGUACACCUUUCGGCUCUGCAUCAACAGCCCACAUCCCCGGCGGACACUGAUACGGUAAGCCUCCUGCAGAAAAUGCACCGCCUGGCGCUUCUGAGCCGGCCUU
rnacentral:sRNA from 1 species